AUUAGCAGAGAAGCAAAGAACAAAACAAAGAGUGGACCUUGAGCACAUAUUGGAACAGCUUAUACCAUUUGCUGAAACAAGCUGGGAAGGGAGGGACUGGAUUAUUUGGGGACAUCAAGAUGCCUGCAAGCUUGCUGGAGAGCCACAGUCAGACUAGGGAGUCCAAAUAUCAAAUCAGUUUAGUGGGUUGUCAUUCAUGUCUGCCAAACACAUAGGAGGUUUCUAAAGAAUGUAUGGGAGAGUAGUAGAAGCUCUAUGCAGGGAAACUAAUAUAUCCAUACAUUAAUUGGUAUUUAAAUUAUUGUUAACAGUAUGAUGUUCUGAGACUCAUUCCUCAUCAAAAGAAUUGUUUCCUCAUUUGGCUUGUUCUUGUUCUGUUAGGAUGAUUGCUCUUAGAAAUACAACCAAAUCAAAUCAGAAUUCUUAUCCUGCACAAUUGCUAUGAUACAACAACACAGAUCAAAAAAUGCUGCUACCUGGUCACAGCACUGUAUCCCUGAUUCUUGGGACCAACAUUUCUGGAUUAAAUUAUGCUGACCUUUGAUUUAGGAUUGUGGCCAGAAAUACUAUAAUGAAGGGAUGGCAUCUACAAGUAUCUGGCAUUAUGUUCUGCUCUGAAAAGAAUUUCACUGUGGAUUUUCUUCCCACCAGAGUCGCUCUGCUGCUACUUCAAGUGCUAAGAGAUUAAAAUCUACUAAAUUACAGCAUUGUAAUAUCUCAUGAUUAGAUCGUAGAGAUAAACAACAAGCAAGCAGAUUUCCAAGAAGUGUGCAUGGUGGAAAGAGGUGGAAAAGAAAUGAGGCAAUUGUUCCCUGCCCCACCUCUGGAGAAUUAUCCUGAAAUGAAGAGGAAAUGGAGGAUUUGGUAGAUCUUCAGUAUUCCAAAAUCUCUAUCCAGCAGUCAAGACGGCUGCACUUAUCCAUGGAUGAUGUGGGUCUGCCUAUGUCUUGCACGCAUAACCUGUACUCCUAUUGCUAGAGAACAGUUCAUGUAUCCGAAAUCGAUCAACAUAAGCUACUAUGCAGAUGCAAUAGCUUUUCUGGAGGCAGCAGAGCAGCAAAGCCUGCUGAGACAAGCUUCCAUCAAUAAACUCACUUCUCUGAA